GGGAUUAAGUGAAGAGUUAUAAACGGGGGAGUUUAACUCUGAAUUAAUACUGCUGAUAGUGGAUCUUCUUCCUGGCUUGGUAUGCCCCCAGAGUAGGUGAUGUUGCACCGAACUGGGUUAACAAUUACUUGUGUUUUUACCUUCUGCACGUUAUAAUUCUGUCUGGUAUAAAAUAAGGUAAACCUGUAAUGCUGUAACAGGU
rnacentral:lncRNA from 1 species